CCUGCAAGCCUCUGCCUCAGGUGGUGAACUUUCCCAGCAGCUGGACAUGGAGCCUGGAACAGGCAUGCAGCUCGAGGCCCUAAACCAGGCUUUGCAAGAAGAGCUGUCCACUCUGCUUGGGAAGUGUGAACAACUGGAGAAGAGCAAAUGUCAGCUGCAAGAAGAGGUGACAAAACACCACCAUCAUUUGGAGACUUUGGUGCUGGAUUGCAGCCAAAGAGAACAGUGUACAGGAGAGGUGGCAGAAGGAGCUGACCAGGAAAGAAGUGCAAAGCUACAAGAGGUCAGCCUCGUUUUGCAAGCACAGGCAGCCCACCAGGCCCCACUAGGAC